rnacentral:rRNA from 1 species
AUUGAACGCUGGCGGCAUGCCUUACACAUGCAAGUCGAACGGCAGCACGGGAGCAAUCCUGGUGGCGAGUGGCGAACGGGUGAGUAAUAUAUCGGAACGUGACCAGUCGUGGGGGAUAACGUAGCGAAAGCUACGCUAAUACCGCAUACGAUCUAUGGAUGAAAGCGGGGGAUCGCAAGACCUCGCGCGAGUGGAGCGGCCGAUAUCAGAUUAGGUAGUUGGUGGGGUAAAGGCUCACAAAGCCGACGAUCUGUAGCGGGUCUGAGAGGACGACCAGCCACACUGGGACUGAGACACGGCCCAGACUCCUACGGGAGGCAGCAGUGGGGAAUUUUGGACAAUGGGCGAAAGCCUGAUCCAGCCAUGCCGCGUGCAGGAUGAAGGCCUUCGGGUUGUAAACUGCUUUUGUCCGGAAAGAAAUCGCGCUGGUUAAUACCUGGCGUGGAUGACGGUACCGGAAGAAUAAGCACCGGCUAACUACGUGCCAGCCGCCGCCGUAAUAC